rnacentral:rRNA from 1 species
AUGAGCGCUUCGGUCAAAGAAUGGUGGAACAACAACCUUCGGAUUCGUCUCGGCUCUCCCAAAGCCCUUGCCUCAUUGAUGAUGCUCAUCUCUUGGGAGGUUUGGUCCAAAAGAAACGCUAGAUUCUUCCGCAACGUGGCGGUUCCAUCGGUGGUCAUCAUCAACAAGAUCAAGCACGAGGCGUCGCUUUGGGCUUUGGCGGGUGCCAAGCACUUGAGUAUUUCUAAUGUCGCGAGAGUAAUUUUCCUUCGGCUGCCGCUUGCGGCUUCUAUCUAA